rnacentral:tRNA from 1 species
GGGGUUGUGGCUCAGCGGCAGAGAGCUCACCUACCAUGUGUGAGGCCCUGAGUUCGAUCCUCAGCACCA